rnacentral:lncRNA from 1 species
CAAAUACCACGGGCUCUCCCAUGAGUCCAUUUUCUAACUUUUCUUCCCAAAAUACCCCCACUCUUUUCGUUUUGUUCCAUGCCAAAGCCCUAUUUUCUCUUCCCCUUCAUAUCCCUCAGAUCCAAAAUCGCAGCCAAACCUCGCUAUGCAAACGUCAUCAUUUCAGCUGCGAAGAAGCUUUUUUCGAAAUUGAUUUGGUGGCUAUGCAGAAGGAAAUUGCUUUCCAACACUUAGUAUCCUGAAUAUUUACCCCAGAGUCAGGCGUGUACGCCAUUUAUGAUAACAGUGGUCAGCUUUAGUCUGCAGGCAUAUCGCGAAAUGUUGUCGCCAGCCUUGUAACUCACAAUAAAUCGGUAACCCAAUCUCUGUUGCUUUGUUAAGGUAUUAUUGUAAAUGUAAUUCUUGAUGCAUAUAUAUGGAGUAGAUUUGUGUUGUUAAUUUCGCUAUUUUGACUCCCAUGAUUAUGUAAUAUAGAAAACUGAUUGGUCACGAUUUUUAUAAUAG